GCACCUGUGGCCCAAUGGAUAACGUUGCUUCUCCCAUCAACGGCGCCUCCCUCCGGAACGGCGUGAGGUAGGAGGAGAUUCCGGGUUCGAGUCCCGGCAGGUGUA